rnacentral:rRNA from 1 species
UUAAGCGACUAAGCGUACACGGUGGAUGCCCUGGCAGUCAGAGGCGAUGAAGGGCGUACUAAUCUGCGAUAAGCGCCGGUAAGGUGAUAUGAACCGUUAUAACCGGCGAUACCCGAAUGGGGAAACCCAGUGUGAUUCGUCACACUAUCAUUAACUGAAUCCAUAGGUUAAUGAGGCGAACCGGGGGAACUGAAACAUCUAAGUACCCCGAGGAAAAGAAAUCAACCGAGAUUCCCCCAGUAGCGGCGAGCGAACGGGGAGGAGCCCAGAGCCUGAAUCAGCAUGUGUGUUAGUGGAAGCGUCUGGAAAGGCGCGCGAUACAGGGUGACAGCCCCGUACACAAAAGCGCAUGUGCUGUGAGCUCGAUGAGUAGGGCGGGACACGUGGUAUCCUGUCUGAAUAUGGGGGGACCAUCCUCCAAGGCUAAAUACUCCUGACUGACCGAUAGUGAACCAGUACCGUGAGGGAAAGGCGAAAAGAACCCCGGCGAGGGGAGUGAAAAAGAACCUGAAACCGUGUACGUACAAGCAGUGGGAGCACAGGUUUACCUGUGUGACUGCGUACCUUUUGUAUAAUGGGUCAGCGACUUAUAUUCUGUAGCAAGGUUAACCGAAUAGGGGAGCCGGAGGGAAACCGAGUCUUAAUUGGGCGUUAAGUUGCAGGGUAUAGACCCGAAACCCGGUGAUCUAGCCAUGGGCAGGUUGAAGGUUGGGUAACACUAACUGGAGGACCGAACCGACUAAUGUUGAAAAAUUAGCGGAUGACCUGUGGCUGGGGGUGAAAGGCCAAUCAAACCGGGAGAUAGCUGGUUCUCCCCGAAAGCUAUUUAGGUAGCGCCUCGUGAAUUCAUCUCCGGGGGUAGAGCACUGUUUCGGCUAGGGGGCCAUCCCGGCUUACCAACCCGAUGCAAACUGCGAAUACCGGAGAAUGUUAUCACGGGAGACACACGGCGGGUGCUAACGUCCGUCGUGAAGAGGGAAACAACCCAGACCGCCAGCUAAGGUCCCAAAGUCAUGGUUAAGUGGGAAACGAUGUGGGAAGGCCCAGACAGCCAGGAUGUUGGCUUAGAAGCAGCCAUCAUUUAAAGAAAGCGUAAUAGCUCACUGGUCGAGUCGGCCUGCGCGGAAGAUGUAACGGGGCUAAACCAUGCACCGAAGCUGCGGCAGCGACACUGUGUGUUGUUGGGUAGGGGAGCGUUCUGUAAGCCUGUGAAGGUGUGUCGUGAGGCAUGCUGGAGGUAUCAGAAGUGCGAAUGCUGACAUAAGUAACGAUAAAGCGGGUGAAAAGCCCGCUCGCCGGAAGACCAAGGGUUCCUGUCCAACGUUAAUCGGGGCAGGGUGAGUCGACCCCUAAGGCGAGGCCGAAAGGCGUAGUCGAUGGGAAACGGGUUAAUAUUCCCGUACUUGGUGUUACUGCGAAGGGGGGACGGAGAAGGCUAUGUUGGCCGGGCGACGGUUGUCCCGGUUUAAGCGUGUAGGUGUGUGUUCCAGGUAAAUCCGGUUCACUUUAACACUGAGGCGUGACGACGAGGCACUACGGUGCUGAAGCAACAAAUGCCCUGCUUCCAGGAAAAGCCUCUAAGCAUCAGGUAACAUCAAAUCGUACCCCAAACCGACACAGGUGGUCAGGUAGAGAAUACCAAGGCGCUUGAGAGAACUCGGGUGAAGGAACUAGGCAAAAUGGUGCCGUAACUUCGGGAGAAGGCACGCUGACACGUAGGUGAAGUGAUUUACUCAUGGAGCUGAAGUCAGUCGAAGAUACCAGCUGGCUGCAACUGUUUAUUAAAAACACAGCACUGUGCAAACACGAAAGUGGACGUAUACGGUGUGACGCCUGCCCGGUGCCGGAAGGUUAAUUGAUGGGGUCAGCGCAAGCGAAGCUCCUGAUCGAAGCCCCGGUAAACGGCGGCCGUAACUAUAACGGUCCUAAGGUAGCGAAAUUCCUUGUCGGGUAAGUUCCGACCUGCACGAAUGGCGUAAUGAUGGCCAGGCUGUCUCCACCCGAGACUCAGUGAAAUUGAACUCGCUGUGAAGAUGCAGUGUACCCGCGGCAAGACGGAAAGACCCCGUGAACCUUUACUAUAGCUUGACACUGAACAUUGAGCCUUGAUGUGUAGGAUAGGUGGGAGGCUUUGAAGUGUGGACGCCAGUCUGCAUGGAGCCGACCUUGAAAUACCACCCUUUAAUGUUUGAUGUUCUAACGUGGACCCGUUACCCGGGUUGCGGACAGUGUCUGGUGGGUAGUUUGACUGGGGCGGUCUCCUCCUAAAGAGUAACGGAGGAGCACGAAGGUUGGCUAAUCCUGGUCGGACAUCAGGAGGUUAGUGCAAUGGCAUAAGCCAGCUUGACUGCGAGCGUGACGGCGCGAGCAGGUGCGAAAGCAGGUCAUAGUGAUCCGGUGGUUCUGAAUGGAAGGGCCAUCGCUCAACGGAUAAAAGGUACUCCGGGGAUAACAGGCUGAUACCGCCCAAGAGUUCAUAUCGACGGCGGUGUUUGGCACCUCGAUGUCGGCUCAUCACAUCCUGGGGCUGAAGUAGGUCCCAAGGGUAUGGCUGUUCGCCAUUUAAAGUGGUACGCGAGCUGGGUUUAGAACGUCGUGAGACAGUUCGGUCCCUAUCUGCCGUGGGCGCUGGAGAACUGAGGGGGGCUGCUCCUAGUACGAGAGGACCGGAGUGGACGCAUCACUGGUGUUCGGGUUGUCAUGCCAAUGGCACUGCCCGGUAGCUAAAUGCGGAAGAGAUAAGUGCUGAAAGCAUCUAAGCACGAAACUUGCCCCGAGAUGAGUUCUCCCUGAGACUUAGAGUCUCCUGAAGGAACGUUGAAGACGACGACGUUGAUAGGCCGGGUGUGUAAGCGCAGCGAUGCGUUGAGCUAACCGGUACUAAUGAACCGUGAGGCUUAACCUU